CAGCCGCCGCGGUAAUACGUAGGCAGCAAGCGUUGUUCGGAGUUACUGGGCGUAAAGGGUGUGUAGGCGGUUGCCUAAGUUUGGUGUGAAAUCUCCCGGCUUAACCGGGAGGGUGCGCCGAAAACUGGGUGACUAGAGUAUGGGAUGGGUAAGUGGAAUUCCUGGUGUAGCGGUGAAAUGCGUAGAUAUCAGGAGGAACACCGGUGGUGUAGACGGCUUACUGGACCAUAACUGACGCUGAGGAGCGAAAGCGUGGGGAGCGAACAGGAUUAGAUACCCGCGUAGUCCCUGUCUCUUAUAC
rnacentral:rRNA from 1 species